UGUACUAGGGAAACACGUCAGAAUUUCUCUCAAUAGUCUUUUGGUUCUUUCUGCUUGACAGCAUCCGUUCUGAAUCUUAAUUUUUCUGAUAUAAAUCACCUGUUACACCACAUUUUGAUCUUCACUUAAUAAGUCUAUUGUUGGCAGCUUAGCUCUGCACUCUCGGAGGCUACGGUUCUCUGGCCUGUUCACCGUAAGUGGAGACGUUUGGACAGUAUGGCUGAUUCGUCCACCGGUUCCAGCAGUAGGCCUACUACAUCUGUUGCUCCACGUGAUGACACGUCUGACGUCCGGGAGAACUGUGGUGUGACCGUAAUGCAAACCAGUAAUGAGGUUGGCUGCAGGAAAUGGGACAAGAAACACUUCUGCUGUUACUGCGAUGUACCCCAGGCCAAGCUCCCCCGUCAUCUCCAGUCAUGUCACAAGGAAGAAAGAGAAGUCGUCGAGAACGCCGGUGAGCCCAACGCUGGUGUGCGUAAGAAACUUCUGUUGAAAAUUCGCAAUAUAGGUAAUCACAGGCACAAUUGUCAGGUUCUUCGUGAAGGUCGUGGUGUGCUCAUUGUCGGGUACAGGCCAAAUUGCGUAUGGACCAUGCGUAUAUUGUUACGGCUAUUAUGUGCGUACCGAUUUGUGGCGACACGUGUGCCCUUUGAAGCCAGCAUCCACUCCACAGACUGACAGCACCGGUAAGAGGGCUCGUGUGGGUGGACGGGUCGCUCACAAGAGUGAUUUGUUGGAACCU